UUAAGCCAUUUAAAGCAGGGAUGGAUCCAGUAUGAUCUGGUAGGGGGGGGGGGGUGCUCUGGUGCCGACUGCCGAGUUGUGUUGGUCAUGUGUGCCGCCCGCCCAUUGACUACUGUAUUUGAAUUGUAAUUGUUGUUCACAGUUCACAUAUCAUGUUAUUACUCAAAUUACUUUAUCUCAUUUUGUCUUUUUUUGCUUUAUCAUGAAAAAUAGCACCCCUCCCUGCACGGGUAGGGGGGUGCGUCAUCGUGUUAUUACUCAAAUUACUGUAUCUCAUUUUGUCUUUUUUGCUUUAUCAUGAAAAGUAGCACCCCCUGCACCCCCUCUGGCCAGGGCUAGGGGGUGUGCACCCCCAAUAAAUCCAUCCCUGAUUUAAAGCACUUGUAGUCAUGUUUUAUCAGAUAUAAAACGCUCGGCUGCGCCUCGCCUUUUAUAUCUGAAAAAACCCUCCUAAUGGUACUUGAAGAGAUCAAAACAGAGGUUUUUUUAUUGAGUGGAGUUCCACAUUGGUACCAGGGCAUUUUUAAACUAUAUAACUACUGGGGCAUUUACCCCAGUAGGCCCUUUGCUUGCCCCAGUAGUGAAGCAAGAUUUUCAGAUGAGCUGGGUCCUUUUGAUCAUCAGUAAAAAGUCGUGAUCUUGUUGACUGAAAGAUGCAUCUGGGGAGAUGUGGGUUUGAAACACUCCAGUUAGGUAGCCAGCAAAUGAUCUACUUCCAGUUGGAUAUAGGAAGCAAAGAAACUAAAAUAUCCAACAAACAAUGCUACGUUAACCGAAAAGAAAAGUUUAGUGUCUUAGUGUGCGGAAUUUUUUUUGAUGUAGAAAUGAAAACCCCUUCUCCAACCCCCCCCCCCACUCGCCAACAAUUUUGGGAAAAUAAAUAUUAAUCAGCCGGCAAAAUGUCACUUACGCCCCCCUCAUUCAAAUAGGACUAGCACCGCCCCUGAGCACAGAUAACUGUGUGGGAAAAAGGCCCGCAUCGAGACUUUGCCCCAGUAGAUGCAAUUUCUUAAAAAAUGCCCUGACUGGUACUGAACCAAACUAAACUCAAACAUUAUACUGAGAAACUUAAUGCAUAUUUUGAUGUUGAUAGACCAAAGACCUUUGUUGUAAGUGUCGUUCUUGCUUUUUAAAUUGUUUGAAAGUACAUUUUAGCAAAUUUUAAUGAUGUACAUAUAUAAUGUGAAUUGUUAAUUUAAAUAAUGUUGUAAUGUAGCAUGUCAGGCAGGACUUAAUUUAGGACUUUAUUUGCCCUGUUGCCUGUCCCUUCAAUUGUUAUAAUUGUAAAAUUAAUUAAAAAAAGGGUGAAAUAUAUUUCAACCAAUUUUUUCCCCGAAAAUCUGCUUGUGCUGAAUUUAUUUUUGUGGAGUUCUUUGAUUUCCACUUUACACAACCUUUUCUCUUUUGUUUUAAUUUGCGCGCAUUUUUUCCCACCCACCCAUUUUACACGAGGUUGGCGUGAC